CUCUGCUUCUCCCCAUCAUGGUUCAGCUGGCAGAAGGUGCAUGUGAAACCAAAGACAGGAGCUGUUGAUGUUUUAUUAAGAUGAAAAAAGAGAAAAGCAAACCUGGGGUUGAAUAAGCACGGUCCAUGAACCGUAGACCUAAAGCAGAACUGGAAAAUACAUGCAGCUUACCAGUGUUUCUUUAGACACACAAGGGCUUUGCUGCCAAGCACACAGGGCUGGAAUUCUGGCUUCGCCGCUCUGCCUACUGGACUUUGGAGGACUCAAAACCUUCUGGGCCUUGGCUUUCUCCUCUAUAGAAGGGAAACUUUAAAAUCCACCUUAUAAAACCAUAGUGAGGAGUAAAUGUGAUCAUCUGUGUACAGCACUGAGUGUAUUUACUGGUAUGCAAGAAGCACAGUAAAUGGAUGCAGUUAUAACCUAAUGUAGUUAGCCAACACUAUGGGUAUUUCUUGGAAGCAUAACAAUAUUUAAAGGGACAAUGAUACAGUAGUCCUACAUUCAUGUAACUGAUUCACUGAAAGCUGUACCAGACAAGAAAUAAGAGGAAGAAAUCUGCAAUGAACCUGGACCCAGUUGGUUUUAUUUUUUGUUUUUAGCUGAAACAAAUAGUUUAUUGGGAGACAACUCAGCUCAUGAAAAUCCUAUUACUACUACAGUAUUUCUUCAAGAAACUUUUUUUAUUUUUUCCCCUAUGACAUGGUAACCAUCUGCCAAUCAUAAAUCAGCAAAUACAGAAGCUGCUGGCCUUUCACUAAUAGAUGAAGAAUAUCCACUAAUUGCAAAAGAAAUAAAUUUGGUCAAAGUCCAUCCUGGAUUUAAAAAAUAGCCUUCCUUUAUUCUUUAAAAGGGGCGGAGAAUCUUGCCCCUUCACUGAAUCAGCAGCCACUGAGAAGCACUUACGAGAAGCACCUGUGGGCCCAUCCCUCCAGCUGAAGGCCUGAGACCCAUGAUGGCUGGAGCAUCAUCCUUGCUAAUCAAUGCUGAAGUGCAGUUGCUUGCCUCACUCAUCCUGAAGUCCACGCCGAAUGGCAGUCACUGUGCAAAGCAGUCAUGGUCUGCCUCUGGGGACUGAGGAGCGGGUCUACACAGAUGGGAAGGAGCCCCCACUCUUCCCUGUCCACCACCGGCUGCAGUGAACAUGCCUCUCCCCUUACUCCUCAUGGGGUCUACCUUUGCAGCUAGGCUUCCUCACACACCGGCCAUGGUCCUUCUCUCUCAAGGUUUGGUUUUGACUUUCACUUCAUUUUUCCUCCAGCACUAGGGUCCCUUGAAAAAUAUGAAAAACUGAUGGAGAGGGGGAAAUGCAACACUUCUCAGCAUCUUUCCUAAUUUCAGGCUGAGGACAAGUACAGCCUGAAAUUAGGAAAUUAGAUCUACACAAGACAAGUCAGGUCAUCAGUUUAAAUUUCUCUAGCAACUUUCUGCCAAAAAAUUCCUAUAUACACCAGCAGUGUAGAAAAGGCAAGGGGAGAAGUUUAAGGGGUGGUGUCAGAGGAAAGAGAGGGAGGCUGAGAGGGGAAAGGGGAUGGCAGACCUUCAAUUCUGAAUGACAGUCUCAGCUCGCCCCUUCUGAAAACACUCUCAAAAAUCCUACCAGAUCACGGCCAGCCUGAACUCACCUUUGGUGUAUUUUCCCCUCUGUUAAGUCACUCUUCUGGGUCCAGAUUGGCUCCUUGUUGACCCAAAUUCAAAAGCUGUAAAAUGAACGAAGGAAAGAUGAAUGAUACCUUGCAGAAAUGGUGUCACAGAAGACCAGAGUGUCACUAGCGUCGUAAAUAAUGAAGGACUAAUAAAUAAUACAAAGGAAAGAAAAGCCUCGCCUUAUUGUCACUUCACGUUUUCCUGACAUUUUGUAUCCAUAGUGCCAAACACAAACGGGAUAAAUGUUUACUGAAUGGUGUUUAGCUCUGGCCUAAAUAGAGAGGAAAGUAUCCUAAACACCUGUUCAUGCACGUUUUUUCAAUUCUUUAUUUUCUUCAACUUUUAUG